rnacentral:misc_RNA from 1 species
AAGGAGUCUAACAUGCUCGCGAGUGUUCGGGUGGAAAACCCCUGCGCGUAAUGAAAGUGAAAGGUUGGGACCUCUCUCGAGGGCACCGACGCCCGACCCUGAAGUUUACGGACGGGUUUGAGGCAGAGCGAGUAUGCUGGGACCCGAAAGAUGGUGAACUAUGCCUGAAUAGGGUGAAGCCAGAGGAAACUCUGGUGGAGGCUCGUAGCGAUUCUGACGUGCAAAUCGAUCGUCAAAUUUGGGUAUAGGGGCGAAAGACUAAUCGAACCAUCUAGUAGCUGGUUCCUGC